GAUCCUGGCUCAGGAUGAACGCUGGCGGCGUGCCUAACACAUGCAAGUCGAACGAAGCACCUUUUAAGAUUCUUCGGAUGAUUGAUUGGUGACUGAGUGGCGGACGGGUGAGUAACGCGUGGGUAACCUGCCCUGUACAGGGGGAUAACAGUUGGAAACGGCUGCUAAUACCGCAUAAGCGCACGAGAGGACAUCCUCUUGUGUGAAAAACUCCGGUGGUACAGGAUGGGCCCGCGUCUGAUUAG
rnacentral:rRNA from 1 species